AUCUAAUUAAAUCAUAUUUAAUUAGAAUUAAUCUCAAUCCAUUGACUUAAUCAAAUUAAGCCAAUUAGCAAUCGAAUUGCUAAUCGAUCCUCCUGCAACACUUGCAUUGGAUUAAAUGUCAAUCGUAUUGAUCAUUUAACCCUAGAACGAUUCUUAAUCGUUGAUCAACCAUCUGAUCAGAUCAUGAACUCUAAUGUGUGUGACCUCAUAGGUCCGAACCUAAGCCGAUAGCACAGAAAUAAAUUUUUGUACCAAUUGAAGUGACCAUCUAGCAAUGGU
rnacentral:lncRNA from 1 species